UAAAUUUAUUUUUAAUAAUAUAUUAGAAAUGAAAUGUUAUUCGUUUUUAAAGGUAUCUAGUUUUUAAAGAAAUAAAUUUAAUUUAAAAAUUUUUUAUUAUUUAAUUUAUUAUAUAAUUAAAUAAUUAUUUAAUUUUAAUAUUUUAUGGGAUAAGCUAUAAAAUAAAUUUUUAAAAAUUAUUAAAUAAAUUUAUAAAUAUAGGCUUAGAAAUAGUCAUUAUUAAUAAAAAUGUUAUAAUUUAUUUUAUUAAUUAAAUUAUUUAUUGAAUUUUAAAUAUUUAUUUAAAUAUUUAUUUUAAUUUUAAAAAUAAAAUAAUAAUGAUAAAAUUAGUAUAAAAAUUUGUAUUAAUAUAAAAAAUUGAGAAGUUUUUAUAAAGAACUCGGCAAAAAUUAUAUUCGCCUGUUUAACAAAAACAUGUCUUUUUGUAUAUUUAGAAAGUCUAACCUGCCCACUGAAAUUUUAAAUGGCCGCAGUAUUUUGACUGUGCAAAGGUAGCAUAAUCAUUAGUCUUUUAAUUGAAGGCUGGAAUGAAUGGUUGGACGAAAUAUUAACUGUUUCAUAAAUAUUUUUAUUAAAAUUUUAUUUUUUAGUUAAAAAGCUAAAAUUUAAUUAAAAGACGAGAAGACCCUAUAAAUCUUUAUAUUUAAUUUAUAAUAAUUUUAUAGAAUUUUUUUAUUAUUAUAUUUUUAUAAUAUUUUAUUGGGGUGAUAUUAAAAUUUAAUUAACUUUUAAUAAUUUAUUUUCAUUAAUUUAUGAAUAAUUGAUCCGUUUUUUACGAUUAUAAGAUUAAGUUACUUUAGGGAUAACAGCGUAAUUUUUUUGGAAAGUUCAUAUUGAUAAAAAAGAUUGCGACCUCGAUGUUGGAUUAAGAUAUAAUUUUAGGUGUAGUAGCUUAAAUUUUAAGUCUGU
rnacentral:rRNA from 1 species